GUGUGCCGACAGACCCUCUGCACUCUUCCUCAUCCCGCUCUGGGUGGCCGCUUCUGAAGAGAUUGGGGCCUCAGGCUAUCAUGCAUAACAUCAAUCACACUGACCCACAACAUCAAGAACCUUCCACAAUAAUCUUACCUCGGGGUCAAUGAGUGAUUUACCAACAUGGAAUCCAGUGUAACAGGCCUUGGACCAAGGAGUGGGUCACUGUGAACCAGGUCGAAAGUUUAAUUUCAUGGUCAUAAAAGCCUACAUGUUGGAUUUCAAAUUACAUAUUGAAUGGAAAAUAUUUCUUAGAGAAGGUGAGCUGGUCCCAGCACCAAGAAGGAAGCUCCCCCACUGCCAUCCUAUGCUCCUAGGGCAGAGAAGGUGAGCCGCACAGGCGCCAGAAGCACCACAACCCCCCACCCCCCAGUAGAAAUGAGAAGACACAUAAACAAGCCUCAAAAACAGAUUUCUGGAUCACCUACAGCAACUCCAAAGGGAAACAAGAUGGAACACUCUGAUACUCAACCACCUGGACUCUCUGAACUGGCAACAAAAGAGGAUCUGGAAAAAAUGAAAUCAAAAAUAAUUUCUCAGAUAACAGCAAAGAUUGUGCUCAUGGUGCAAGAUAUGAUUAAUAAAUCUAGAGAGGACACAG
ensembl:lncRNA